rnacentral:rRNA from 1 species
CCUACGGGUGGCAGCAGUGAGGAAUAUUGGUCAAUGGACGAGAGUCUGAACCAGCCAAGUAGCGUGAAGGAUGACUGCCCUAUGGGUUGUAAACUUCUUUUAUAUAGGAAUAAAACGUUGCACGUGUGCCUUUUUGUAUGUACCUUAUGAAUAAGGAUCGGCUAACUCCGUGCCAGCAGCCGCGGUAAUACGGAGGAUCCGAGCGUUAUCCGGAUUUAUUGGGUUUAAAGGGAGCGUAGGUGGGUUGUUAAGUCAGUUGUGAAAGUUUGCGGCUCAACCGUAAAAUUGCAGUUGAUACUGGCAGUCUUGAGUAGAGGAGAGGUGGGCGGAAUGCGUGGUGUAGCGGUGAAAUGCUUAGAUAUCACGAAGAACUCCGAUUGCGAAGGCAGCUCACUGGACUGCAACUGACACUGAGGCUCGAAAGUGUGGGUAUCAAACAGGAGUAGAUACCCGGGUAGUC